UCUAAAAGAGUUGGAGAACUAAUUGGUUAUGGGUGUUAUUGUGGCUGGGGAGGAAGUGGUACACCGGUAGAUGGCGUUGAUAGAUGUUGUCAAGCUCACGAUAACUGUUAUGGCAGACAUUCUAAUUGCUCCCCAAAAUGGGAAUAUUACUCGUACUCAUUCCAGGGGAAUACCAUGAUAUGUAGAGAUAAAUUUGGAUCGUGUGACCGGAAUGUCUGUAUGUGCGAC